CAUUCUAGGUUAGAAUGGAAACAUAUUGUUGCAGUAAUGGGAUUGAUAGAAUAAGCUCAUUGCCCGUUGAUAUACUUCACAACAUUCUUUCAAAUCUCUGUAUUUUUGAUGUGAUUCAUAUGACUGUAUUGUCGAAAAGAUGGAAAUACAUAUGCACUACCAUCCCCUACUUCCGGUUUGAUAGUAAUUUCUCUGAUUCAGAUCCAGAUCAUGAGGAAUUCAAAGAAUUUAUCGAUACCUUUUUAAUUUCCCAUAAAACGAUUAACCUUGUCCGUUUUAUCCUCUCAUGUAGCAAUAUGUUUGAAAGCACAGAUAUAUUGCGUUUUAUUGAUGCAGCAGCAAGAAGAAAUGUUGAACAACUUGUGUUGUGGUUUUCGCCUGGUGAGCCAUUUGAGUUACCGCAUUGUCUUGUAACUUGUGAAUCUUUACAUGUUUUGAAACUAAAUUUGUGUGGGGAUGUACUAAAACUUCCUAAUGAUCAUAAUCAUUUGGGCGGAUUUCGUCAGCUGAAAUUGCUUCAUCUUUGCAGUGUUGAGUUAUUAGAUGGACAUUUGACAAGUUGCUUCUUCUCAGAAUGUAUACUAGUUGAAAAAUUGGAAUUAUGUGAUUGCAAUUUACAACAUAUGAACCUGCUUUAUAUUGCUCCGAAAUCUCUUUUAUAUCUCACUUUUGAUGAGGGCAACUAUUAUAUAUGACAAUUGUGAAAUCAAAAUUUCUUGUCCUGCUCUCAAAUUCUUAACAUAUAAAUCUCCUAUGCCAAAGGAUAGAGUAAUCAACAAUCUCUUUUCAAUAGAACAUGUGUUAAUCAAUUUUGAUGAUUAUGAUAGAAAUUGUGAUGAGAAAAUUGGAAUUCUUGUGCAUAAGAUGAUCAAGGAAGCCCCUUCUAUAUCACUUCUGAAACUUUGCAAGGCUUCUCUUAAGGGUUUGUAUAAAGAGGCUUGCCUCUCUCCCAUCUGUUUUAAUAAGCUCAAGUCCUUAAAAAUGAAAUUGGGAGUUGAUGAAGAUUGUAUGCAAGUUAUGAUACGAUUGCUCAAGUAUUCGCCUAACCUCGAGGUUUUAAAAUUGUGGUGCGAUGAGGUAAGACACUUCAUCUGUGAAGUGAUGUAAUGGAAGUCUGAGAUGAAUAACAUGUUGAUUGGAUGGAUGGCUUGGUUUGGUUUGAAUUGUAGGUAUCAGACUGCAAUACGAACAGAUCACUUGGAUUUUUUAUGAAUCAGUGACACUUGAAAGUGAAUCCUGUUUGGCAUUUUCACUUGAAAUAGUUACUUGUGUUGUUGAGUGAUUGCUGCUUAUUCAGAUUUAUAGUUGUUUCAAUACAAGUGUUUGAUUCUCUUCUCACUCUCAAUUGUCUUCUAGGAUGGAGAAUAGAGGGAGAAUUAUUUAAAGUAUCAAGAAUGGUGUGACUAUUGGCAGGUACGGGCAGAUCAAGGCCGGGGGAUAAGGUUUUUCACCCGACCCCCCUUGGUAAAAAAUUACAAUGUACAUAUAAGAUGCAUGAUCCUGAAGUAAGCAUUGUGUGCUUGGACUCUCAUCUAAAAUCGAUUCAGUUGAUUGGUUUCAAAAAUGAAGAAAACGAGAUAGAACUAAUAAGGUUUUUUCUGAAGAAUGCACGGGUAUUGGAAAAAUUUAGGAUUGUUUGUGCUGGUUAUGCUCUGACAUCAGAAGAGGCAUCAAAGAAGGUUUUGAAUAUUCCUACAACUUCUUCACAAGUUCUUUUGACAUUUCACGAUGCCAAGCUCAAACGGUGGUCUGAUAACUGGUUGGAUAAUUGUUAGAUUUAGUCUUAUUGAAGAUCCAAGUGAGAACCAAACUGUUGUUGAGGUUUAUGAAACUUGUAGUUCAUGUUUGACUGAAAUAGAGUACUUGCUAGGACUACAUAGUAUAUAUGCCCAAUUUGGAA